UGUAUUCACUACUGUAAGUCGCUCUGGAUAAGAGCGUCUGCUAAAUUACUAAAA
rfam:Salmo salar isolate Sally breed double haploid chromosome ssa15, whole genome shotgun sequence.